rnacentral:rRNA from 1 species
AGAGUUUGAUCAUGGCUCAGGACGAACGCUGGCGGCGUGCUUAACACAUGCAAGUCGAACGGAAAGGCCCUGCUUUUGUGGGGUGCUCGAGUGGCGAACGGGUGAGUAACACGUGAGUAACCUGCCCUUGACUUUGGGAUAACUUCAGGAAACUGGGGCUAAUACCGGAUAGGAGCUCCUGCUGCAUGGUGGGGGUUGGAAAGUUUCGGCGGUUGGGGAUGGACUCGCGGCUUAUCAGCUUGUUGGUGGGGUAGUGGCUUACCAAGGCUUUGACGGGUAGCCGGCCUGAGAGGGUGACCGGCCACAUUGGGACUGAGAUACGGCCCAGACUCCUACGGGAGGCAGCAGUGGGGAAUAUUGCACAAUGGGCGGAAGCCUGAUGCAGCAACGCCGCGUGCGGGAUGACGGCCUUCGGGUUGUAAACCGCUUUCGCCUGUGACGAAGCGUGAGUGACGGUAAUGGGUAAAGAAGCACCGGCUAACUACGUGCCAGCAGCCGCGGUGAUACGUAGGGUGCGAGCGUUGUCCGGAUUUAUUGGGCGUAAAGGGCUCGUAGGUGGUUGAUCGCGUCGGAAGUGUAAUCUUGGGGCUUAACCCUGAGCGUGCUUUCGAUACGGGUUGACUUGAGGAAGGUAGGGGAGAAUGGAAUUCCUGGUGGAGCAGUGGAAUGCGCAGAUAUCAGGAGGAACACCAGUGGCGAAGGCGGUUCUCUGGGCCUUUCCUGACGCUGAGGAGCGAAAGCGUGGNGAGCGAACAGGCUUAGAUACCCUGGUAGUCCACGCUGUAAACGGUGGGUACUAGGUGUGGGGUCCAUUCCACGGGUUC